CGCGGGGUGGAGCAGCUUGGUAGCUCGUCGGGCUCAUAACCCGAAGGUCGUCGGUUCAAAUCCGGCCCCUGCAACCA
rnacentral:tRNA from 3 species